AUUGAACGCUGGCGGCAUGCCUUACACAUGCAAGUCGAGCGCGAAAGGGGGCAACCCCGAGUAGAGCGGCGGACGGGUGAGUAACGCAUCGGAACGUGCCCAGUAGUGGGGACAACCUCGAGAAAUCGAGGCCAAUACCGCAUACGACCCACGGGUGAAAGCGGGGGACCGCAAGGCCUCGCGCUAUUGGAGCGGCCGAUGUCCGAUUAGCUAGUUGGCGGGGUAANAGCCCACAAGGCGACGAUCGGUAGCUGGUCUGAGAGGACGACCAGCCACACUGGGACUGAGACACGGCCCAGACUCCUACGGGAGGCAGCAGCGGGGAAUUUGGACAAU
rnacentral:rRNA from 1 species